AUUGAACGCUGGCGGCAUGCUUUACACAUGCAAGUCGAACGGCAGCGCGGGCUUCGGCCUGGCUGCGAGUGGCGAACGGGUGUGUAAUGCAUCGGAACGUGCUCAGUAGUGGGGUAUAGCACGGCGAAAGACGGAUUAAUACUGCAUACGACCUGAGGGUGAAAGCGGGGGAGCGAAAGGCCUCGCGCUAUUGGAGCGGUCGAUGGCGGAUUGGCUAGUUGGUGGGGUGAAGGCUUACCAAGGCGACGAUCCGUAGCUGGUCUGCGAGGACGACAAGCCACACUGGGACUGCGACACGGCCAAGACUCCUACGGGAGGCAGCAGUGGGGAAUUUUGGACAAUGGGGGCAACCCUGCUCCAGCCAUGCCGCGUGCGGGAAGAAGGCCUUCGGGUUGUAAACCGCUUUUGUUCGGGAAGAAAUCCUCUGGGCUAAUACCCCGGGGGGAUGACGGUACCGGAAGAAUAAGCACCGGCUAACUACGUG
rnacentral:rRNA from 1 species